rnacentral:rRNA from 1 species
GAUGAACGCUGGCGGCGUGCCUAACACAUGCAAGUCGAGCGAAUCUCUUCGGAGAUUAGCGGCGGACGGGUGAGUAACGCGUGGGUAACCUGCCCUAUACACAUGGAUAACAUACCGAAAGGUAUGCUAAUACAAGAUAACACAUUGAUAAGGCAUCUUAUUAAUGUCAAAGCCUUGGCGGUAUAGGAUGGACCCGCGUCCCAUUAGCUAGUUGGUGAGGUAACGGCUCACCAAGGCCACGAUGGGUAGCCGACCUGAGAGGGUGAUCGGCCACACUGGAACUGAGACACGGUCCAGACUCCUACGGGAGGCAGCAGUGGGGAAUAUUGCACAAUGGGCGAAAGCCUGAUGCAGCAACGCCGCGUGAGUGAUGAAGGCCUUCGGGUUGUAAAGCUCUGUCUUUGGGGACGAUAAUGACGGUACCCAAGGAGGAAGCCACGGCUAACUACGUGCCAGCCGCCGCGGUAAAAC